GGUUUAAACUCAGAUCAUGUAAAAUUUUAAAGGUCGAACAGACCUAAAACUUUCUAGCUUCUUCACCAGAAAUAAAUUUUAAUCCAACAUCGAGGUCGCAAACUCUUUUUUCGAUAAAAACUCUAAAAAAAAUUACGCUGUUAUCCCUAAGGUAAUUUAAUCUUAUAAUUUAAACUUUAAAAUCAUCAAACCAUAAAUCAAUGUAAUUAAAUAAAAAAAGUUAAUUUAAUUUUUCUAUCACCCCAACAAAAUACUUUUCUAAUUAAAAAAAAUUAACAUCCUUAACUUAGUUAAUUAUUAAAAUAUCAAAUUCUAUAGGGUCUUCUCGUCUUCUAUAAAUAUUUAAGCUUUUUAACUUAAAAAUAAAAUUUUAAUUAAUUUUAACAGAGACAGAUACUUUUACAUCAAACCUUUCAUUCCAGCUUCCAAUUAAAAAACUAAUGAUUAUGCUACCUUUGCACAGUCAAAUUACUGCGGCCAUUAAAAACCUCAUCGAGCAGGUCAGACUUGAAAUUAUAAUCAACAAGCC
rnacentral:rRNA from 1 species